UUCUAGCCCUGAUGGAACGAUAUCUUUUUUCUGGCUUCUUUAGACAGAAAAAGAUAAAGUGGACAGCAGGUUUUAGC
rnacentral:sRNA from 1 species